ACGGCUCAGUAACACGUGGAUAACCUGCCCUUGGGUCCGGCAUAACCCCGGGAAACUGGGGAUAAUUCCGGAUAACGCACAUAUGCUGGAAUGCUUUAUGCGUAAAAUGGAUUCGUCUGCCCAAGGAUGGGUCUGCGGCCUAUCAGGUAGUAGUGGGUGUAAUGUACCUACUAGCCUACAACGGGUACGGGUUGUGAGAGCAAGAGCCCGGAGAUGGAUUCUGAGACAUGAAUCCAGGCCCUACGGGGCGCAGCAGGCGCGAAAACUUUACAAUGCGGGAAACCGUGAUAAGGGGACACCGAGUGCCAGCAUCAUAUGCUGGCUGUCCAGGUGUGUAAAAUACACCUGUUAGCAAGGGCCGGGCAAGACCGGUGCCAGCCGCCGCGGUAACACCGGCGGCCCGAGUGGUGAUCGUGAUUAUUGGGUCUAAAGGGUCCGUAGCCGGUUUGGUCAGUCCUCCGGGAAAUCUGACGGCUUAACCGUUAGGCUUUCGGGGGAUACUGCCAGGCUUGGAACCGGGAGAGGUAAGAGGUACUACAGGGGUAGGAGUGAAAUCUUGUAAUCCCUGUGAGACCACCUGUGGCGAAGGCGUCUUACCAGAACGGGUUCGACGGUGAGGGACGAAAGCUGGGGGCACGAACCGGAUUAGAUACCCGGGUAGUCCCAGCCGUAAACGAUGCUCGCUAGGUGUCAGGCAUGGCGCGACCGUGUCUGGUGCCGCAGGAAGCCGUGAAGCGAGCCACCUGGGAAGUACGGCCGCAAGGCUGAAACUUAAAGGAAUUGGCGGGGGAGCAC
rnacentral:rRNA from 1 species